CCCCGGUCUGAAAGAAGGAGAAAAGGGCCAUCAUUGGAGAGCUCCCGGUGCCACGGCGAGGGCCGGCCCGGCGAGGUCAGAGGUCCUGGACCGCGGGAGAGCAAGGUCUCCAGAUGGCUGUGACGUAAAGAAGAAGCAUCCUGCACGGAUUUCUCAAGAAUAAACAGUCCCUAUUUGCCUUUAGAGAGGAAUGCUCACGGAGCUCCAAUUAACGCAAUCAGAGCCGGGCUUCAUGCCGGCACUCCGCCUUCCGCGCAGGAACCACGGAAGGAGGUGCAGCGCGGCGCAAACCCCAUUCCGCACUACGGCCGAGCAGAAUUCACGCGGAGAGGAACCACGACGCAGCAGCUCGCGGCGGGCAGCGCUCCCGCAGCGUCCCGCUCCCGCAGCCAGGAGAGCCGCUUCCCAUAGAGCUGCCCUUAUCGUCCCUCUGGUGACCGCGGUGCCGCCGCACCGGCAACCCCGGCGGUCCUGCUGCUGGCAUGCAAGGGGAUGUCAGCGCGAAUCCGAACUGUGCAACAAGAGCAGGCGAACUAUCGAGAAUACAGCAUCUCAAGGAAAAACAAAUGAAACACGCACUCGGUCAGUAAUCAUACACGAAAGCAAUGCACGCUGCUAAGCACCACGUAUUUAUAAAAUCUGUAUGUAACACAUAGAGCACCGUCCGGCUUUAAUAAGGAAAAACAUUUUACCGUGUCGUGCCUUGGAAGUCAUUCCCUGUGCUCUGUCUGCGUUGUUUAAAUCUGAAAAAUAACCACAAAAGAAGCGAAGGGUCAUGAUUUAAAUAUUUUUACUGUUUGGUUCUUGUUCGUUAAGUGCAUGUAAACAGAUGGGUGUAAAGGUGCCCAGAUCUAGAUCACUCAUAUCUGAGCUGGUUCGUUCAAUAAGACCAAAAGUUGUUAGCCAUGGGCAGGCUCAGCUCUGGGUUAAGCCGGGACGCAGCCAGCCACAUUUCUUGCAAAUGAUCCAACAUGACACAGAACAGAUAUGAGUGAUGCACUCCAGCAUCUGCAGAGUUAAAUGUGGCAAUCAGUGUUUACAUAAAACAAAAGGGAUAAUAUAAAGACUAUAACAACUUGUGGUUAACUCCUCUCAAGGAAAAUGGAUAGAGAAUAUUUCGGGCCGCUGAAUGGAAGUGGCCAAAACUCCAGGGGCGGGCACGAUAUUUGCAUACUAUAUGCUGCGGCUCCUUAAUGAAGGACGGAGCUCCACCUAGCCUCCAGCCCAGCUCUGUGCACAGAGCCUCACGCCGCUCUCCUUAGGGCCCUCAGACCGGGAGCACGGCGAAGGAGCCGUCAGCACUGACAGCGUGCCAACGGAGCAAGGGUAAAUAAAUACAGUGAGCCACAGGCUUUCAUCGCCUUAUAUCAGCUGCAUCAGCUUUAGUUACAAAAUAAAAAUAAUAAGAGUAA